GACGAACGCUGGCGGCGUGCUUAACACAUGCAAGUCGAACGAAGAGCGAUGGAAGCUUGCUUCUAUCAAUCUUAGUGGCGAACGGGUGAGUAACGCGUAAUCAACCUGCCCUUCAGAGGGGGACAACAGUUGGAAACGACUGCUAAUACCGCAUACGAUCUAAUCUCGGCAUCGAGGAUAGAUGAAAGGUGGCCUCUACAUGUAAGCUAUCACUGAAGGAGGGGAUUGCGUCUGAUUAGCUAGAUGGAGGGGUAACGGCCCACCAAGGCGAUGGUCAGUAGCCGGUCUGAUAGGAUGGGCGGCCACAUUGGGAGUGAGACACGGCCCAGACUCAUACGGGUUGCAGCAAUGGGGAUUCUGCCGUAAUGGACGAAAGUCAGACGGAGCAACGCCGCGUGAGCAAUGACGAACUUCGGGUUGUAAAGCUCUGUUAUUCGGGACUAAAGGCCUUCUUGCGAAUAGUGAGAGGGAUUGACGGUACCGGAAUAGAAAGCCACGGCUAACUACGUG
rnacentral:rRNA from 1 species